rnacentral:rRNA from 1 species
AGAACGAACGCUGGCGGCAUGCCUAAUACAUGCAAGUCGAACGAACUCUUCGGAGUUAGUGGCGCACGGGUGCGUAACGCGUGGGAAUCUGCCCCUUGGUUCGGAAUAACAGUUGGAAACGACUGCUAAUACCGGAUGAUGACGAAAGUCCAAAGAUUUAUCGCCAAGGGAUGAGCCCGCGUAGGAUUAGCUAGUUGGUGAGGUAAAGGCUCACCAAGGCAACGAUCCUUAGCUGGUCUGAGAGGAUGAUCAGCCACACUGGGACUGAGACACGGCCCAGACUCCUACGGGAGGCAGCAGUAGGGAAUAUUGGACAAUGGGCGAAAGCCUGAUCCAGCAAUGCCGCGUGAGUGAUGAAGCCUUAGGUGUAAAGCUCUUUUACCCGAGAUGAUAAUGACAGUAUCGGAGAAUAAGCCCGGCUAACUCCGUGCCAGCAGCCGC